rnacentral:rRNA from 1 species
UACAGAGGGGGCAAGCGUUAUUCGGAAUUAUUGGGCGUAAAGGGCUCGUAGGCGGUUUGUCACGUCAGGAGUGAAAACUCGGGGCUCAACCCCGAGCCUGCUUCUGAUACGGGCAGGCUAGAGUUCGGUAGGGGAGACUGGAAUUCCUGGUGUAGCGGUGAAAUGCGCAGAUAUCAGGAGGAACACCGGUGGCGAAGGCAGGUCUCUGGGCCACUACUGACGCUGAGAAGCGAAAGCAUGGGGAGCGAACAGG